GACGAACGCUGGCGGCGUGCCUAAUACAUGCAAGUAGAACGCUGAAGAGAGGAGCUUGCUCUUCUUGGAUGAGUUGCGAACGGGUGAGUAACGCGUAGGUAACCUGCCUGGUAGCGGGGGAUAACUAUUGGAAACGAUAGCUAAUACCGCAUAAAAUUGAUUAUUGCAUGAUAAUUAAUUGAAAGAUGCAACUGCAUCACUACCAGAUGGACCUGCGUUGUAUUAGCUAGUUGGUGAGGUAACGGCUCACCAAGGCGACGAUACAUGGCCGACCUGAGAGGGUGGUCGGCCGCACUGGGACUGAGACACGGCCCAGACUCCUACGGGAGGCAGCAGUAGGGAAUCGUCGGCAAUGGGGGGAGCCCUGACCGAGCAACGCCGCGUGAGUGAAGAAGGUUUUCGGAUCGGAAAGCUCUGUUGUAAGAGAGGAACGGGUGUGAGAGUGGAAAGUUCACACUGUGACGGUAUCUGACCAGAAAGGGACGGCUAACUACGUG
rnacentral:rRNA from 1 species